GACGAACGCUGGCGGCGUGCUUAACACAUGCAAGUCGAACGGAAAGGCCCUGCUUUUGUGGGGUGCUCGAGUGGCGAACGGGUGAGUAACACGUGAGUAACCUGCCCUUGACUUUGGGAUAACUUCAGGAAACUGGGGCUAAUACCGGAUAGGAGCCCCUGCUGCAUGGUGGGGGUUGGAAAGUUUCGGCGGUUGGGGAUGGACUCGCGGCUUAUCAGCUUGUUGGUGGGGUAGUGGCUUACCAAGGCUUUGACGGGUAGCCGGCCUGAGAGGGUGACCGGCCACAUUGGGACUGAGAUACGGCCCAGACUCAUACGGGAGGCAGCAGUGGGGAAUAUUGCACAAUGGGCGGAAGCCUGAUGCAGCAACGCCGCGUGCGGGAUGACGGCCUUCGGGUUGUAAACCGCUUUCGCCUGUGACGAAGCGUGAGUGACGGUAAUGGGUAAAGAAGCACCGGCUAACUACGU
rnacentral:rRNA from 1 species